GAUGAACGCUGGCGGCGUGCCUAAUACAUGCAAGUAGAACGCUGAAGCUUGGUGCUUGCACCGAGCGGAUGAGUUGCGAACGGGUGAGUAACGCGUAGGUAACCUGCCUCUUAGCGGGGGAUAACUAUUGGAAACGAUAGCUAAUACCGCAUAAAAGUCGGCAUUGCAUGAUGUUGACUUGAAAGGUGCAAUUGCAUCACUAAGAGAUGGACCUGCGUUGUAUUAGCUAGUUGGUGAGGUAACGGCUCACCAAGGCGACGAUACAUAGCCGACCUGAGAGGGUGAUCGGCCACACUGGGACUGAGACACGGCCCAGACUCCUACGGGAGGCAGCAGUAGGGAAUCUUCGGCAAUGGGGGCAACCCUGACCGAGCAACGCCGCGUGAGUGAAGAAGGUUUUCGGAUCGUAAAGCUCUGUUGUAAGAGAAGAACGAGUGUGAGAGUGGAAAGUUCACACUGU
rnacentral:rRNA from 1 species